rnacentral:tRNA from 1 species
CGUUCUAUGGCCGAAUUGGUAAAGGCAUCGCCGAUCACAGGCGAGGUUGUGGGUUCGAGUCCCUCUGGAACUA